GGUUGUUCGAGCUUUGUAUUUGAUUGACAUUUAAUUGGCUAUCUCACUUGUUCAGCUAAUCUACAAUUUGUGAAACUUUGAAAACAUGCCAAGCGAUUAUCUAUACAAAUUACCCAAAUUGACUCAAUUUUUUGAGUAAAGACUAAAGUUUCAAAUUCACUCUAUGUUUUGAGUGUAGACUAAUUUUACUAAAAAAAUUGAGUAAAUUUUCUAAUAAAUUUGGGUAAUUUUACUCAAUAUUUUGGGCCACUGUGUCUAUGGGUGCAUUAAUUUUUAGAUUCAAUAUUUUUGCAGUGUAGAUUUAUAUAAUAUUGUAUUAUGAUCUCGGAUAUACAAAAAUUAUUAUGGAAGAUAAGACAUAAUAAACUUGAGACGUUCUCUGACCAAAUUACUUCUGAUAGCCGAAAGCUCAUCAAUUAAAAUGAUUUGGCCAGAGAACGUCUCAAGUUUAUUAUCUAAGAUAUACUUUGCAAAUAUUAUACUAUACUCCUAUAGACUGAUCUAUAGUACGUACUAUACGUAUUAUUUCAUGAGUG